rnacentral:rRNA from 1 species
UACGGGGGGAGCAAGCGUUGUUCGGAUUUACUGGGCGUAAAGGGCGCGUAGGCGGUCGUGACAAGUCACUUGUGAAAUCUCCGGGCUUAACUCGGAACGGUCAAGUGAUACUGUCGGACUAGAGUACAGAAGGGGCAACUGGAAUUCUCGGUGUAGCGGUGAAAUGCGUAGAUAUCGGGGGGAACACCUGAGGCGAAGGCGGGUUGCUGGGCUGAUACUGACGCUGAGGCGCGAAAGCCAGGGGAGCGAACGGG